rnacentral:rRNA from 1 species
UACGUAGGGUGCGAGCGUUGUUCGGAGUUACUGGGCGUAAAGCGUGCGCAGGCGGCCCGUUAAGACAGGUGUGAAAUCCCUGGGCUCAACCUAGGAAUUGCGCUUGUGACUGGCGGGCUCGAGUACGGUAGAGGGGGGUGGAAUUCCUGGUGUAGCAGUGAAAUGCGUAGAGAUCAGGAGGAACACCGAUGGCGAAGGCAGCCCCCUGGGCCUGUACUGACGCUCAUGCACGAAAGCGUGGGGAGCAAACAGG